rnacentral:tRNA from 1 species
GGUGGUUGUAGCUCAGUUGGUAGAGCCCCGGAUUGUGAUUCCGGUUGUCGUGGGUUCAAGUCCCAUCAAUCACCCCAG